GAGUGUAUAGCUCAGUGGUAGAGUGCAUGUUUAGCAUGCAUGAGGUCUUGAGUUAAAUCCCCAGUACCUCCA
rnacentral:tRNA from 1 species